UAAGAGAUAAGUUAAUUGUUAAACUUUAUGACUCAUGAUCAUAAUAUGCAUUCGUGCUCUCUUAA
rnacentral:tRNA from 1 species